rnacentral:rRNA from 1 species
AGUGAACGCUGGCGGUAGGCCUAACACAUGCAAGUCGAACGGCAGCACAGUAAGAGCUUGCUCUUACGGGUGGCGAGUGGCGGACGGGUGAGGAAUACAUCGGAAUCUACUUUUUCGUGGGGGAUAACGUAGGGAAACUUACGCUAAUACCGCAUACGACCUACGGGUGAAAGCAGGGGAUCUUCGGACCCUGCGCGAUUGAAUGAGCCGAUGUCGGAUUAGCUAGUUGGCGGGGUAAAGGCCCACCAAGGCGACGAUCCGUAGCUGGUCUGAGAGGAUGAUCAGCCACACUGGAACUGAGACACGGUCCAGACUCCUACGGGAGGCGGCAGUGGGGAAUAUUGGACAAUGGGCGCAAGCCUGAUCCAGCCAUACCGCGUGGGUGAAGAAGGCCUUCGGGUUGUAAAGCCCUUUUGUUGGGAAAGAAGAGCAGCAGGUUAAUACCCCGCUGUUCUGACGGUACCCAAAGAAUAAGCACCGGCUAACUUCGUG